GAUAGUUUCAUUAAAAAGUGGUUUAGAUUAAAUCAAAGUAAAAAUAAGAAUAUGGGUUUGUUAGUUUUUAACACAUAGGUUUUUCUCUAACACUUUCCUUUUUAAGGGAUUAAAUAGUCAUCUGGUACUCUAUAUUUAUGCAUUGAAUCUUGGGAGUAAAUAGCAGCUUGUGUUUGCUAUGUGUUAGAAAAGUAUCAUACCUGCCAGCAUUUCAAAUGGAUAAAGAGGGCACCCUAAUUUUAGGGGUUUGACUGUGUGGGUGAGGACAGAGGCAGGGCUCUUAUAAAACAAAUGUUAGUGGCUCACUAAAAACAAUGUAUGCAAAUAAAAUGUAAUUUAGAGCAAGCACAGUGUGUCUUAUUUCUCACAUGUGUAUUGCAGUUAAAGGUACGUUAGUGAUUACUUCUUUGAGGCUCUGUUAUGCACUCACUCAAACAUACAAACAAUAUGGAGCUCCUAGAAAAGAUGGACAUUAGAAUAGGAGAGGCACAGAAAGACCUUGGAUCAAAAUAAGGACUGUCACUCCUAAUUUGGAGGUUUUCAAUAUGUACAAUUUCCUUAGUAUUGUAUUCUUGAAAGAUCACAGAGGAAGAAGUGGAGGGCUGUAGGGAGUGAGUAGAUAUUACAUAAGGUGUUUUCAUGUUUCUUUAAGUACCAAUCCAUAUGGAAUCUCUGCUUGCCCAGGACUUGUGUCUGCAUUUAAAGAAUAUUUUAAGUUUAAUGGAAAUAUGAGGGAGACAGAGAACAUCUGCAUGCUUUCACAUAUAUAACAUCUCUUAUGCAUAUUUUAACUAGCAGGUUUGACAAUCUUUGCCUCUUGGAUCCAGGAAAAUCAUUCUUAAUUAUCACACAAGGGAGUGAAUCCUUGACAAAUGAGUUGUUGUGGGACUAUUUUCCCAAGUACGAAGUUCAUCCAAAGUAGGAGCAAUGCCUUUUAGUUUUCUUCCUCUUGACACUAUUUUCCUAAUCAGGUUCAACAUUGGAGGAUAAUUCCAUUGAUUGUUGUGCUUGGGAUUGGUACUGGAAUUCCUUUUGGCUUUCAUAUAUCAGUGACAAGUUCCUCUUCACC